AUGAACGCUAGCGACAGGCUUAACACAUGCAAGUCGAGGGGCAGCGGGGGUAGCAAUACCCGCCGGCGACCGGCGCACGGGUGAGUAACGCGUAUGCAACUUGCCUAUCAGAGGGGGAUAACCCGGCGAAAGUCGGACUAAUACCGCAUGAAGCAGGGAUCCCGCAUGGGAAUAUUUGCUAAAGAUUCAUCGCUGAUAGAUAGGCAUGCGUUCCAUUAGGCAGUUGGCGGGGUAACGGCCCACCAAACCGACGAUGGAUAGGGGUUCUGAGAGGAAGGUCCCCCACAUUGGUACUGAGACACGGACCAAACUCCUACGGGAGGCAGCAGUGAGGAAUAUUGGUCAAUGGCCGAGAGGCUGAACCAGCCAAGUCGCGUGAGGGAUGAAGGUUCUAUGGAUCGUAAACCUCUUUUAUAAGGGAAUAAAGUGCGGGACGUGUCCCGUUUUGUAUGUACCUUAUGAAUAAGGAUCGGCUAACUCCGUGCCAGCAGCCGCGGUAAUACGGAGGAUCCGAGCGUUAUCCGGAUUUAUUGGGUUUAAAGGGUGCGUAGGCGGCCUUUUAAGUCAGCGGUGAAAGUCUGUGGCUCAACCAUAGAAUUGCCGUUGAAACUGGGGGGCUUGAGUAUGUUUGAGGCAGGCGGAAUGCGUGGUGUAGCGGUGAAAUGCAUAGAUAUCACGCAGAACCCCGAUUGCGAAGGCAGCCUGCCAAGCCAUGACUGACGCUGAUGCACGAAAGCGUGGGGAUCAAACAGGAUUAGAUACCCUGGUAGUCCACGCAGUAAACGAUGAUCACUAGCUGUUUGCGAUACACUGUAAGCGGCACAGCGAAAGCGUUAAGUGAUCCACCUGGGGAGUACGCCGGCAACGGUGAAACUCAAAGGAAUUGACGGGGGCCCGCACAAGCGGAGGAACAUGUGGUUUAAUUCGAUGAUACGCGAGGAACCUUACCCGGGUUUGAACGCAUUCGGACCGAGGUGGAAACACCUUUUCUAGCAAUAGCCGUUUGCGAGGUGCUGCAUGGUUGUCGUCAGCUCGUGCCGUGAGGUGUCGGCUUAAGUGCCAUAACGAGCGCAACCCUUGCCACUAGUUACUAACAGGUGAUGCUGAGGACUCUGGUGGGACUGCCAGCGUAAGCUGCGAGGAAGGCGGGGAUGACGUCAAAUCAGCACGGCCCUUACAUCCGGGGCGACACACGUGUUACAAUGGCGUGGACAAAGGGAGGCCACCUGGCGACAGGGAGCGAAUCCCCAAACCACGUCUCAGUUCGGAUCGGAGUCUGCAACCCGACUCCGUGAAGCUGGAUUCGCUAGUAAUCGCGCAUCAGCCAUGGCGCGGUGAAUACGUUCCCGGGCCUUGUACACACCGCCCGUCAAGCCAUGGGAGCCGGGGGUACCUGAAGUCCGUAACCGCGAGGAUCGGCCUAGGGUAAAACUGGUGACUGGGGCU
rnacentral:rRNA from 1 species